CGCUGGCGGCGUGCCUAAUACAUGCAAGUCGAACGCUUCUUUCCUCCCGAGUGCUUGCACUCAAUUGGAAAGAGGAGUGGCGGACGGGUGAGUAACACGUGGGUAACCUACCCAUCAGAGGGGGAUAACACUUGGAAACAGGUGCUAAUACCGCAUAACAGUUUAUGCCGCAUGGCAUAAGAGUGAAAGGCGCUUUCGGGUGUCGCUGAUGGAUGGACCCGCGGUGCAUUAGCUAGUUGGUGAGGUAACGGCUCACCAAGGCCACGAUGCAUAGCCGACCUGAGAGGGUGAUCGGCCACA
rnacentral:rRNA from 1 species